GACGAACGCUGGCGGCGUGCUUAACACAUGCAAGUCGAACGGUAAGGCCCUUCGGGUACACGAGUGGCGAACGGGUGAGUAACACGUGGGUGAUCUGCCCUGCACUUUGGGAUAAGCCUGGGAAACUGGGUCUAAUACCGAAUAUGACCAUGGACUUCACGGUUUGUGGUGGAAAGCUUUUGCGGUGUGGGAUGGGCCCCGCGGCCUAUCAGCUUGUUGGUGGGUAAUGGCCUACCAAGGCGACGACGGGUAGCCGGCCUGAGAGGGUGACCGGCCACACUGGGACUGAGAUACGGCCCAGACUCCUACGGGAGGCAGCAGUGGGGAAUAUUGCACAAUGGGCGCAAGCCUGAUGCAGCGACGCCGCGUGGGGGAUGACGGCC
rnacentral:rRNA from 1 species